UGGGGAAUAUUGCACAAUGGGCGCAAGCCUGAUGCAGCCAUGCCGCGUGUAUGAAGAAGGCCUUCGGGUUGUAAAGUACUUUCAGUCGGGAGGAAGGUGGUAAGGUUAAUAACCUUAUCAAUUGACGUUACCGACAGAAGAAGCACCGGCUAACUCCGUGCCAGCAGCCGCGGUAAUACGGAGGGUGCAAGGGUUAAUCGGAAUUACUGGGCGUAAAGCGCACGCAGGCGGUUGAUUGAGUCAGAUGUGAAAUCCCCGGGCUUAACCCGGGAAUUGCAUCUGAUACUGGUCAGCUAGAGUCUUGUAGAGGGGGGUAGAAUUCCAUGUGUAGCGGUGAAAUGCGUAGAGAUGUGGAGGAAUACCGGUGGCGAAGGCGGCCCCCUGGACAAAGACUGACGCUCAGGUGCGAAAGCGUGGGGAGCAAACAGG
rnacentral:rRNA from 1 species